rnacentral:lncRNA from 1 species
AUGCUAAUCGAAUCCGAUCUGGGCUUGAGAGUCCCCAACCCUUAUCUCGAAAUGCUUUACGAACUUCCUCUCCGAAUUUACGACAUUCCUCAGCUGACGUCUCAACACCAUAACAGGAUCCACAACAAAUCUCACUAUGCUCAAGUAUGCCUCCAUAUCUUUGUAAGGGCUUCUCAAUCAGGGGAGAACAAAAUCCAUCUUCAAAACGUCCUUCCCAUGGGCCUCACCCCAACCGAUCUCUGGAAGAUUGGAUGCAUGAACAUCAAGGCGCUCAACAGAAGAAGCAAGGUGAAUAACGGGUAG